rnacentral:lncRNA from 1 species
AGACCUAUGAAGGUCGAAGGGGAAGAAAAGCUGUAUCGAUUGUUGAGAUCUGGCGACUUGUUUAAAUUUCAUCAGCCUCACUUCUAUGAACUCUCAGAGCUGAUUACCAACUCCUACCACUGUUAACCCUCAUCCAGGAACAAGCUUAUGUCUUUAACAUUCUGAGUGGGCUUCAGCAUCCUUGCAUAUGUUCAAUUCUUAAAAACCUGUUGAAAUAAAAGAUCAGGAGACAUAGGAAGGAUGCCAGAAGAGAGCGUGGCCUCACGUGUACCAGCUCUCUGCUCUCCUUUGCCUUGGGACGUUCCAUCCCUGGAAGUUUCCCUGCCCACAUCUUUGUAGAGAGUCCAUUCUCCAAGCUUCAGUGUGUCAUCUGUGAGGACCGUGACCCACCUGGUACAUCGCCUCAGGGCAUUCAUUUCAGGCUCCUUCUAAAUGGCCAAGUUUUCAAGAUUGUUUUGGCUCUAGCAAAACAAGUUGGAACAUUCACAUCAUCCAUCUUCUGCCAGCCUAACAAGCAUAGCAAGAAGAUAUAGCCCCACAACCACUUUAUGCACAAAGUUAGAAGCAUAAAAUCUCAUGGAAGGAGACCGAUUAUCUACAGAAGAGGUUGUCUUGCCAUUUCUCUCAUGUUAGAGGUAAACCUCAGGUUCUCCUCCUGCCUUUUGCUAAGUAUAUGUCUUGAUGACAAGCCUUCUGCUGAUGAGCUGUGUUUCUGGACCGAUCAUGGUAGAAGUCAAUUAACGUGUCCCUCACUUGGGGUUUCUCAAGGCUGCACUGAUGAGGAAACUGAAACAGAAAAUCCAGAGUAAAUUCCACCAGGCCACACAGCAAGGUCUGAUAGAGCCAGGAGAGACUUUAUGAAAUCCAGACUCUCACACUAAUGCUCUAUCAGCUAGACCUCCAUGUGAGUCUCCCCAAUGUAGGUAGGAAGUGCUUUCCCUAAAAUGCUCAUAAAGCAAAUCAGAGCAAUGCUGCAUUCCAUGUGAUUUCUAAUUUGAAAUGCAAACAAUUGCCAAUUUGUUUGACUUGUAUUUAUAAUUAUUUCCUUGUGAAUUACUCAUCACUAAAUGCUUUAUAAAUAUUUUCUCUUUUUUUCCUCAAUGUCUAUGGAAUGAUCACAGCAUAGAAAAUGUUGGCUUUCAAGGAUUUAUUAAUAUCUCCUUUUGAAAUAACAUGUAUUUGUAAGACAGAAUAAAAUCACUUUAAAGAAACAAA